UUGAACGCUGGCGGUAUGCUUAACACAUGCAAGUCGAACGGAAACGAUACUAGCUUGCUAGUAGGCGUCGAGUGGCGGACGGGUGAGUAACGCGUAGGAAUCUGCCUGAUAGUGGGGGAUAGCCCGAAGAAAUUCGGAUUAAUACCGCAUAAUCUAUUCGUAGUAAAGUGGGGGACUUUCGAGCCUCACGCUAUCAGAUGAGCCUGCGUAAGAUUAGCUUGUUGGUAGGGUAAAAGCCUACCAAGGCGACGAUCUUUAGCUGGUCUGAGAGGAUGAUCAGCCACAUCGGGACUGAGACACGGCCCGAACUCCUACGGGAGGCAGCAGUGGGGAAUAUUGGACAAUGGGGGCAACCCUGAUCCAGCAAUACCGCGUGUGUGAAGAAGGCCUGAGGGUUGUAAAGCACUUUCAAUUGUGAAGAAAAGUUAGCGGUUAAUAACCGUUAGCCUUGACGUUAACUUUAGAAGAAGCACCGGCUAACUCCGUGCCAGCAGCCGCGGUAAUACGGAGGGUGCAAGCGUUAAUCGGAAUUACUGGGCGUAAAGCGUGCGUAGGCGGUUUAUUAAGUCAGAUGUGAAAGCCCCGGGCUUAACCUGGGAACUGCAUUUGAAACUGGUCAACUAGAGUAUGGUAGAGGAAAGUGGAAUUUCUGGUGUAGCGGUGAAAUGCGUAGAUAUCAGAAAGGAACAUCAAUGGCGAAAGGCAGCUUUCUGGACCAAUACUGACGCUGAGGUACGAAAGCGUGGGUAGCAAACAGGAUUAGAUACCCUGGUAGUCCACGCCGUAAACGAUGAUAACUAGCCGUUGGGGGGAUUUACCCUUUAGUGGCGAAGCUAACGCGUUAAGUUAUCCGCCUGGGGAGUACGGCCGCAAGGUUAAAACUCAAAGGAAUUGACGGGGACCCGCACAAGCGGUGGAGCAUGUGGUUUAAUUCGAUGCAACGCGAAGAACCUUACCUGGUCUUGACAUCCUGCGAACUUUCUAGAAAUAGAUUGGUGCCUUCGGGAACGCAGUGACAGGUGCUGCAUGGCUGUCGUCAGCUCGUGUCGUGAGAUGUUGGGUUAAGUCCCGUAACGAGCGCAACCCCUAUCCUUAUUUGCCAGCACAUCAUGGUGGGAACUAUAAGGAGACUGCCGGUGAUAAACCGGAGGAAGGCGGGGACGACGUCAAGUCAUCAUGGCCCUUACGACCAGGGCUACACACGUGCUACAAUGGGAAGGACAAAGAGCCGCGAAGCCGCGAGGUGUAGCUAAUCUCAUAAACCUUUUCGUAGUCCGGAUUGGAGUCUGCAACUCGACUCCAUGAAGUCGGAAUCGCUAGUAAUCGUAGAUCAGAAUGCUACGGUGAAUACGUUCCCGGGUCUUGUACACACCGC
rnacentral:rRNA from 1 species